AAUGGGCUGGGAAUGUGUGGGCCGGAGUCUGCUCGGGUGCUCCAGUCCACAGUGGGUUUUCAUCCAUCCGCGAUCCAACUAGUAAACGUUAGCAUUGCCGAUCUGACAAUCGCGUGGUAUACUCGUGCUCGGAUCAUUUAUUGCCCACAUUAUUAUAAUUACGUCGUAACCAUCAUAAUUACACUUAACAUCAUUAAAUAUUUCCAUCGUUCGGACUGUUUCUUCAUUCACAAUGUUAUUGGCACCUUUCAGUGAUUCGAGUGCUCAAUAACUGCCGCCCAGUGUUUGUUUACAUUUUGUGAACGAGUGACAAUUUUUUGUUGUAGUUUUAUUUGUGUAUGAGGACGCAUCCCUCUCUCCGAGGGAUCAUAUAGAAUCAGUCAAAAUUAACGCGGCAAUCAUGAACUCUUAUUUCGAGCAGAGUGGCUUCUACGGAGGCCACCAUCAUCAGAGCACCGGCUCAGUAACGGGCGCUCAUCAUCAUGAUCCUGCUGCAGCAGCGGCAGCCUACAGAUCGUUUCCACUGAGUUUAGGAAUGUCUCCUUAUGCCUCCAGUCAGCAUCAUCAUGCUGCCCACAGUCUGCAUCAAGCAAGACCGCCACAAGAUUCACCGUAUGACGCUUCAGUAGCUGCCACUUGCAAACUAUAUUCCUCCACAGAUGGACAACAAAAUAGCUACAGUAAUGCGGUGACCAAAUCAGACUGUUCGAAAGGCAAUGCAGAUCAGAACGGUUAUGCCGCUGUGGUGGCCGCCUCAGAAGCAGUGAAAAAUGCAUGGCAAAAUGCUACCUCUGGAGCUGGAGCAAACCUAGCUAACAGCCUCUCAGGACCAGUCCGUCCUUCAGCCUGUACUCCCGACUCCCGAGUCGGAUACGGAUCAUCCGGUUUGAUCGGAGGAGAUCCUUCUACAAGUCCGGGAGCCGCUUCAGGCACGAGAACAUCAAACUCUCUCUCGUCGUGGAAUAAUCCUUGUUCCUUGAAUACUCCCUCAGCGCAACCGGUGGGCACCCAUCAGCAGGCGAACCACACGUUCUACCCUUGGAUGGCAAUAGCAGGAUAUUACAAAGGUGCAAACGGUUUGAGAAGGCGUGGCCGUCAAACGUACACCCGGUACCAGACGCUCGAGCUAGAGAAAGAAUUUCACACGAACCAUUAUCUGACCAGGCGGCGGAGGAUAGAAAUGGCGCACGCGCUUUGCCUAACAGAACGACAAAUCAAAAUAUGGUUCCAAAAUAGGCGGAUGAAACUUAAAAAGGAAAUACAGGCCAUAAAAGAAUUAAACGAACAAGAAAAACAGGCGCAAGCACAGAAAGCAGCAGCGGCGGCGGCAGCGGCAGCAGCACAACCAAUGGAUCAAAAUUAGUUAGUUCCCCCCAUUUUCCCCACCGGUGAUAAUGAAAGGAUGUGGCUGAGUUCAUUUACUUAACAGAUCUACUGAAUUCGAGCCAAUGACUUGCCAGAUAUCCUAUUUGAAACUGCCGCUUGUCGCCACAAAAAGCAGAAACGCAAAUACGUAAUAACUUCGGAAAACAACAAGUAAAACUGUGAAAAAGUGUAUACUAUUUAGGUUAUAAAUACUCUGGUAAACGUAAUAAAUAGUGUAUAAAUCUACAUAUUUAUAAUCUACAUUGUAAGUUUACUAUACCGAAAGGAUAUUUUUGAACACAUUUUUCUAUUCGCAAAACAGUUGGAAAAUUCCUGUCUCCUUACUUGGUGCAAUCUUCUACAUAGUAGGGAUACUCGACUGAAAAUCGUAGUCUUUUCUCCUAAUUCCUUAAGAUUUGAGAAGGGCAAAACAGCAAUAUAGGUGAUUUAAAUUUUCAAUUCAAUGUGCUCGUUGUAGCUGGUUUCAGUAAAACCAAAUUACGAUGACCAAGAUGAGAUUAGAAGUUUUUAAUGCGCCGCAGUUUUUGCCACAAUAGUUUAUUUUCAGUUGCUCGAUUGCCCUUUCAAUUCUUGUCCUUUGAAACUUAGUACAUGCAACUAUUUAACUUAAAAAAUUAAAAAUAUCCCAUUUUAAAUACGUUCCUAAAUACAGACAAGUAAUUGCCAUGCUUUGUAUAAAGCAUUAGAUUUUAUGAGAUUUUGCUUUUAUGAAAAAAUUAGUUCCGAUUAACCAAACCUCAGGAGGUUUUAGUGCAGGUGUACAGGUAUUAAUUGUUAAUUAUUGUCACUAAUAUUUUACAUACUUAACUGAGUCAUGUCAUAAACUCGCUUAACUUCAUUAUCAUUGCCAAAAAAAUACAUACAUCAUAAAAAAUAUUUUGUAGGGCAAUCGAGUUUUAGACAAAUCUGAGAAUAAGAUUUUGCUCAAACCUAAAGGAAAACUGUCACACCCAAUUAUAAUAUUGAGACUGCAUGGAAUUUAGUUCUUGACUGAUAUUCUCUGAUUCAUUAAAAUAUAGUGUUCAUUGACUACUUACGGUUAUGGUUAAUGAAGAGGAAGAAAAAAGAAAUAGCGAUAAAAUAUUCCAAUGGCAGUUGAUGUUGCUCUUCUCUUCUUAUCACCUUGAGGAGGAGCUAACAAUACAACAUUUUGAUUAGGAGUAUCUUCGAUGUAAACAAUUGUAGGAUUUAGGGUUUAAAGCAUCGAUUCACAAACGGCCAAACCGGGACUAAUGGAAGUAGAAGCAAUUUUUCGCUCACUAGGUAAAAUUCUAUUCAUUUAUAUUUUGUGAAAAGGCACGCCACAUAUGUGCAAUAUACGUUAUAAUCAUCUUUUAAAGGAUAUGACUCUAUGUAAUAUUCUUAGCGUACCACUAAAUAGAAUAGUAGUAAAAGUUGUACUAUAAUUAGAUUCAUGUUUUGAUUUGUUACUGGUAGCAUAUUCCAAUCUAAGCAUGUAAGAGAGCACUCAUUCAUUCUUAAACAAAGUAAUUUAUUAUUAUUUUAUUUAGGGUUAAAUUUGGAUUGAGUUAUUUAUACAAUUUUGUCAGUUAAAUACAAAUUUAGCAAAUUGCUCUUGGAAAAACGAGAUUAUUUUAAUCGAUAUAUAUUACUUAAAAUCCUAAAUGUUAUAUGAAUUAGUAAAAAUUGAUUUUCGUUUAAUUGAUAUGCAGUUUGGCACAAAAAUUGGAAUUAAACUUAUAAUUGUCUAUAACUAAUAUGUAAGUGUUUAAAUUAUAAAAAUCUUGCCACAGUUCUAGCUUUGAAAAGUGUCAUUUUUGUAAAUGAAACUGUAAAUAGAAUUACCAUUAUAAGAAAACCUCUUGGUAUGAAUUUAAAAGGCACGUUGUGCGUAAAGAAUGUACCUAAAUUUUUGAGCUUAAUUUUAAAUAAAUUACUUGGGAAAGGUCGAUUUGUAGUAUGCGGUUCUAAACGGUGUACAUUGACAAUAUUUCCUAAGAGACUUGGUUGGGUGUAUUAUCUAAUCGAACUUUUCAGCAAGUGUAGUAUUAUUUUAUACCUUUUAGUUUAAAGUUUUAAAUAAUUUGCUACUUAUUGUUAAUAACGAGAGUACAACAGUUGUAUACGUUAAUAUUGUACUAUAAACUAAGGUAAAAUAAGUUGGAUGAACGGGGAAAAUUAAACAGAUCUUUGUUUUUUAGUGUAUUUUGACCCCGAUUGUCUUCGUAGUUAAAAGGUGACGUUUCUUAAACUGUGCAAUCAAAUGUGCGACAUGCAAAAAAUAUUUAUUGUCAUUCCUAAAAGGGAAAAAUUCUCUUAGAUGUUUCGAUUUUACCUCACAUUCUCAACGCAAAAUUAUGUUAUUACGUUUAUGGUUAUGGAUGAAAUUACAUUUAAAAGUAUGUAGAUUGAAAACCUGUUUUUAGAAAAUAUAUAUUCCAUGGGAAUUUAGAAUACUUAUAUACGAUAUACGUAAAGAAAAAAACUUGUAAAUAUGCUGUAAAAUUAAUAAUAGACUAAGGAUAAAAUGUAUACUGUUUAUCUAGAUAUUAUAUUAUUUGUUUUUGGUUUUGUUUUGUUGCUUAUUUGUUGCUCAAUUUCUUUAUUUUUCAUCUCUAUGUAAUAUAUGCUCUCUGUCUCUAUCUGUCGUCUGUGUGUGACUGUAAUUUAUUUUAAUAAAAGUCAUGUUCUAAAA